CAUUCAGCUUGUGGCUCACCAUCACCUCCAUCGAGCUCACCGGCGAGCCUGGAGGACAGAGCAUGUGGAGGUGACUGACAAAUCUGAUUGCUACAGCGCAGCACCAAGCACACACAGGUCACUACAGUGCAGCGCCAGGGAGACCGAGCUGGUCACUAUAGUGCAGCGCCAGGGAGACCGAGCUGGUCACUACAGUGCAGCGCCAGGGAGACCGAGCUGGUCACUACAGUGCAGCGCCAGGGAGACAGAGGUGAACUCAAGGAAACAUUUUGGGAUUUACAAUACAAGAUGCAAGAGCUUAUAUCACUCUGGACAUUAGACGCAGCAACACUGCAGACUGUAGGCAUCCUAUACACACACUGCCAUGUAUACGACCUAUCCAGCACCGAGGAUCGGGGAAUGGAUAUCUGCAGUGUCUCCAAAGGGGUAAAUGAGAUCCAUCACUUGCUCAUAACAGCACGAAUCUGGACGCCAAGGGUGAGACUGGGAACAGUGCCCUUGGAAAAAAGUUUGUUUCGCUUCUCACCCCUACGUACCCCAACCCAGCCACCCCCCUUUACAACGUGAAGUGGAUCUGCUGUUCAGAAAGUGGCUGCUGGGCCAGGAAGUGACAUUCUCGGAACAGGCGAUACUGAUACUUGGAAUGGAGUCUAUGGGGCUCGACUGGGAACUGGAAAGUUGCUCAAAGUCCAGGUGGGACAAUCCUCUGACCAAGAUGCUUUGCUCCUAUCGCUCCCUUCACAUGUCCAGGUGUAUAAAUACACGUUGAGCCUCAGUGAUCGUGAACCCUGUGCAGAAGAUGAUAGAAAACUCAAAGCUGAUCCAGUGAAACCCUCGCGUGUCAGAACGCGUCUUCUAACUGUUACUGGAGAAACAAGACUGAAGCUCAGACCUUUCUAAAGGCUCAGUCCCUGAGCUGUGAGGAUCAUGAGGACCAGCUGGACAGUCCACUGUCCACUCCACAGCCCUGAGGAAGGAGGUAGGCAGGACAAGAGCUCGUCUUUUAUUUAUUUACAAUAAAGGA